rnacentral:lncRNA from 1 species
AAAAAGAUGAGGCUUAUAUUUCACUUAUUUUUUGAUACAGCACCUGGUUAUAUAACCUGGAUUGCCUGGAACUCAUGGCUCUCUUAUUUUGGCUUUGUGAGUGCUGGAAUUGCAGGUGUGUGGCACCACAUUAGGCUUUAGAAUUUUUUUUUUAAAAAUCACAACCUUCAUUAUUUUCCUAAUUUGUUUAUUUAUAUUUAUUUAUAUCAUUUAUUUAUUUAGGUACAUAAACGUGUGUCCUACGGCAAGAGCACAGAGGUCAAAGUCCUGGGUGUCAGUCAAGCUCAGCAGCAGGUGCAUUGCUGAGAACUGAUCCAGUCCCUUGCCCAUGUUCAAUGCUUAUGGUCCCACAGAGGGAUAAGCACCCCAUCGUUUUCGGUGCUGAGGAUCAGACCCAGGCCUUCAUGCAUACAAAGCAGAUGUUCAGCUUCAGAGCAUCCCACAGCACAUGUCUGUCGUCCUGGAGCUUCACAGUAGAAGACAGAAAGAUUACUGAGCCUUGUUGGCCAGCAGAUCAUGUGCAGUCAGUGAGUUCCAGACACUGAGAGAUUGUGUCAAAGAACAAAAACAAGGUAGAUAAGGAUAAAGGGAGAGGCCUGGCAUCAAUCUCUGUCUUCUGUAU